rnacentral:rRNA from 1 species
UGACCCGGAGAUUUCCGAAUGGGGAAACCCAUUGUGGCGAACCCACAUUAUCCUCUUGUUGAAUAUAUAGACUUGAGGAAGGGAACCUGGGGAACUGAAACAUCUAAGUACCCAGAGGAAAAGAGAUCAUUCCCCUAGUAGUGGCGAGCGAACGGGGAUUAGCCCAAACCAGCCUGGCUUGCCAGGUUGGGGUUGUAGGAUCCAGCACAUGGAAGUUACAAAUCGAUCUGUUAGCAGAAUGGUAUGGGAAAGCCAACCAAAGAGGGUGAUAGUCCCGUAUGCGAAAAUGGAUCGACUUCCGCUGGACACCUGAGUACUGCCGGGCACGCUAAUCCGGUAGGAAGCUGGGGAGUCCACUCUCCAAGGCUAAAUACACUUGACGACCGAUAGUGAACAAGUACCGUGAGGGAAAGGUGAAAAGUCCCCCUGUUAGGGGAGUGAAAUAGAACCUGAAACCGUAAGCUUACAAGCAGUCGGAGGGCUAAUGGCGUGUCGGUGCCCCGGUGAAAGCCGGGCGCGCGGCGCUAUGCCUGACGGCGUGCCUCUUGGAGAAUGAGCCUGCGAGUUAAUCUCAGUGGCGAGGUUAAGGGAGUUACACCCGUAGCCGUAGCGAAAGCGAGUCUGAA